GUUCAUUGCUAGGGGUCUAUAUUUUAAAUUAAUUUAAAUAUAGUGAGAAACACCCUUUGAACCUGACGCGGGUUAUGCCGCCGUAGGAAAGCAUGCAAUGUGUCGC
rnacentral:ncRNA from 2 species